rfam:Myotis lucifugus cont2.19707, whole genome shotgun sequence.
GGUGGUUCUCGGGUGAUGCACCCCAGAAUAAGGCUCCCUCCUCUCUGGUUCUGGGUGCAUCACCCAAGAACCACA